rnacentral:lncRNA from 1 species
ACUCCCCAAGCCCUGUGGAGGCUGGACAGAAGCGAGGACUCCGAAGAAGAAACUCCUGCACCUGUGUACAGCGCAAAUGUGAAUGAACUGAAGGAGUGUCUUUCUGUGCUGGUUAAAGAGCAGCAGGCCCUGGCCGUCCAGUCCGCCGCCACCACCCUCUCAGCCCCGAGACUCCAGCACAGGCUGCUGAUCUUGGAGCGCUGUUUCAUUGCCUUGAAUAGAACCGUUUUUCAGGAGAAUGUCAAAGUUAAGUGGAAAAGCAGCAGCAUUUCUCUGCCUCUUGUAGAGAAAAAAAGAGAUGCUUCUGGGCCAGGCACGGUGGCUCACACCUGUAAUCCCAGCACUUUGGGAGGCCAAGGCAGGCAGAUCACGUGAGGUCAGGAGUUCGAGAUCUGACCAACAUGGAGAAACCUCGUGUCUACUAAAAUUAAAAAAUCACCUGGGACGUGGUGGCGCAUGCCUGUAAUCCCAGCGACUCAGGAGGCUGAGGCAGGAGAAUGGCAUGAACCCAGGAGGCAGGGGUUGUGGUGAGUAGAGAUUGCGCCAAUGGACUCCAGCCUGGGCAACAAGAAUGAAACCCCAUCUCAAAAAGAGAGAGAGAGAAAAAAAGAUGCUUUUGGGCAUAUGAGUUUUAAUGUGUUGAUGCCUGUUAAUAUAUCACAGAUUUCCUCUAUUUGCUAACAGCCACUAGAAUGUUUAAGGCUUAUGUAAAAU